rnacentral:rRNA from 1 species
CUAAGGCGAGGCCGAGAGGCGUAGUCGAUGCACAUACGGUAAAGAUUCCGUAGCCACCGAAGUCGUUAAAUACAGGGACACAGGAACAUAGCCUAACCCCACCGUUGGUUGAGUGGGGCGUAAGGGAGCGAAAAUUAGUAGCGAAGUAGGUGAUUGUACACUGGCGAGAAAAGCUGUAUGAAUUGACAAGGUGCCCGUACCGCAAACCGACACAGGUAGAUGAGGAGAGAAUCCUAAGACCAGCGGGAGAAGUGUUGUUAAGGAACUCGGCAAAAUGACCCCGUAACUUCGGGAUAAGGGGAGCCUACGCGAGUAGGCCGCAGAGAAUAGUCUCAAGCGACUGUUUAGCAAAAACACAGGUCUAUGCUAAAUCGAAAGAUGAUGUAUAUGGGCUGACGCCUGCCCGGUGCUGGAAGGUUAAGGGGAAGUGUUAGAGCAAUCGAAGCACUGAACUUAAGCCCCAGUAAACGGCGGCCGUAACUAUAACGGUCCUAAGGUAGCGAAAUUCCUUGUCAGGUAAGUUCUGACCCGCACGAAUGGCGUAACGACUUGAGAGCUGUCUCAACAACAUACCCGGCGAAAUUGAAGUACUGGUAAAGAUGCCAGUUACCCGUGAUAAGACGGAAAGACCCCAUGGAGCUUUACUGUAACUUGAUAUUGAAUUUUUGUAUUACAUGUACAGGAUAGGUGGGAGACAGAGAACUAAUGCCGCCAGGUGUUAGGGAGUCGAUGUUGGGAUACCACUCUUGUAAUAUGAAGGUUCUAACCUGCACCCGUGAAUCCGGGUGGGGGACACUGUCAGGUGGACAGUUUGACUGGGGCGGUCGCCUCCUAAAAGGUAACGGAGGCGUUCAAAGGUUGGUUCAGCACGGACGGAAAUCGUGCAACGAGUGCAAACGCAUAAACCAGCCUAACUGCGAGACCGACAAGUCGAGCAGUAACGAAAGUUGGAGUUAGUGAUCCGGCGGUAUGAGAGUGGAAUUGCCGUCGCUCAACGGAUAAAAGCUACCCUGGGGAUAACAGGCUGAUCUCCCCCAAGAGUCCACAUCGACGGGGAGGUUUGGCACCUCGAUGUCGGCUCAUCGCAUCCUGGAGCUGUAGUCGGUUCCAAGGGGUGGGCUGUUCGCCCAUUAAAGCGGUACGCGAGCUGGGUUCAGAACGUCGCGAGACAGUUCGGUCCCUAUCUAUCACGGGCGUAGGAAAUUUGAGGAGAGCUGACCUUAGUACGAGAGGACCGGGUUGGACGUACCGCUGGUGCACCUGUUGUUCUGCCAAGGGCAUAGCAGGGUAGCUAAGUACGGACGGGAUAAACGCUGAAGGCAUCUAAGCGUGAAGCCCCCUUCGAGAUAAGAUUUCCCAUAGCGUAGGCUAGUAAGGACCCAUGAAGACUACAUGGUUGAUAGGCCGGAGGUGGAAGUGCAGUAAUGUAUGUAGCUGACCGGUACUAAUAGUCCGAGGGCUUGACCA